rnacentral:rRNA from 1 species
CACCAGACUCCUACGGGAGGCAGCAGUGAGGAAUAUUGGUCAAUGGGCGCGAGCCUGAACCAGCCAAGUCGCGUGAGGGAUGACGGCCCUACGGGUUGUAAACCUCUUUUGUCGGGGAGCAAAAGCCGGACGUGUCCGUCUGUGAGAGUACCCGAAGAAAAAGCAUCGGCUAACUCCGUGCCAGCAGCCGCGGUAAUACGGAGGAUGCGAGCGUUAUCCGGAUUUAUUGGGUUUAAAGGGUGCGCAGGCGGAGGUGCAAGUCAGUGGUCAAAUUGCGGGGCUCAACCCCGUACUGCCGUUGAAACUGCAUCCCUUGAGUGCGCGAGAAGUAUGCGGAAUGCGUGGUGUAGCGGUGAAAUGCAUAGAUAUCACGCAGAACUCCGAUUGCGAAGGCAGCAUACCGGCGCGCAACUGACGCUCAUGCACGAAAGCGUGGGUAUCGAACAGGAUUAGAUACCCUCGUA